rnacentral:lncRNA from 1 species
AGGUAUAUAUUAUGGCUCAUAAUGCCAUUUUUAUCAUGUAAAUUUAUUCAAUGUGUACGUAGAUAAAAGAAAGUGCUCUUACCUGGUCAACAAAGUGGAAAGAAUGACAUGAAAAGCAUUCGAAAGAAUGACAUAUGAAAAGCAGAAUGCUACAGUGAGUCUGAACACAUCGUGGAUUAGCAUUUUAAGAGAGAUGAUUUACUGUGAGAAGGCCACAAAUCUUAAAUAAGAUUAUAACGUAAACUGAUUAUUCUUAAUUUUAUGUUAAUGUGUUCAUAGUUUAUUAGGUGGUAGUAUGGUAGAUCUUAAUGCAUAUAAUCCAUGCUUUCCUUAAUUUUUCUGUCAUUUCAAUUUUUGAGGUUUAUGAGAAGCUGCUUUGAUCUGAGGGGCAUCAUAGUAUAAGGAUGUUCUAAAUUUUGUCCUAUGUAAUAGUUUCAAUAAUAUGAACAUGUUGGCUUUGGCAUCACAGGG